rnacentral:rRNA from 1 species
GAAGUUAACACAUUAAGCACUCCGCCUGGGGAGUACGGUCGCAAGACUGAAACUCAAAGGAAUUGACGGGGACCCGCACAAGCAGUGGAGUAUGUGGUUUAAUUCGAAGCAACGCGAAGAACCUUACCAGGUCUUGACAUCUGAAUGACCGGUGCAGAGAUGUACCUUUUCUUCGGAACAUUCAAGACAGGUGGUGCAUGGUUGUCGUCAGCUCGUGUCGUGAGAUGUUGGGUUAAGUCCCGCAACGAGCGCAACCCUUGAUCUUAGUUGCCAGCACUU